rnacentral:rRNA from 1 species
CCCUUAGAUGUUCUGGGCCGCACGCGCGCUACACUGACAGGGCCAGCGAGUACAUCACCUUGGCCGAGAGGUCUGGGUAAUCUUGUUAAACCCUGUCGUGCUGGGGAUAGAGCAUUGCAAUUAUUGCUCUUCAACGAGGAAUGCCUAGUAGGCACAAGUCAUCAGCUUGUGCCGAUUACGUCCCUGCCCUUUGUACACACCGCCCGUCGCACCUACCGAUUGAAUGACUCGGUGAAAAAUUGGGACUGUGAUUGAAAUUGCUUCAUUGCGAAUUUAAUUAUGGAAACUUUCUUUAACCUAGGCAUUUAGAGGAAGGUGAAGUCGUGACA